UACGAAGGGAGCUAGCGUUGUUCGGAAUCACUGGGCGUAAAGCGCACGUAGGCGGAUGUGUCAGUCAGGGGUGAAAUCCCGGAGCUCAACUUCGGAACUGCCCUUGAUACAGCACGUCUUGAGUCCGGAAGAGGUGGGUGGAACUCCGAGUGUAGAGGUGAAAGUUCGUAGAUAUUCGGAAGAACACCAGUGGCGAAGGCGGCUCACUGGUCCGGU
rnacentral:rRNA from 1 species